CCCGCAGAGAGAAGGCUCUGGCCCUGACCGGCAACCAGGGGAUCGAACAAGCCAUGGAUUGGUUGGUGGAACAUGAGAACGAUCCCAAUCUGGACGAGCCCUUCACGGAUCCUCCAGUGCCCGUUCCGGAUGCCGAGGAACCCGCCAAAGGAACGACGCCGGAGUUGGAACAAGGAGGGUCAGGUGAGCUGGCAGAAGGAGAGACGCAGCGUCCCCUGACGGAAGAGGAAAAGCAGGAACAGA